rnacentral:lncRNA from 1 species
UUCAAAUCAAGUUUAAUAAAUAAAACAGCAAGGGAUUCAAGGCAGUUAUCACUUCACAGUGUGGUCCUUGGUGGGGUGAGGGAAGGUCGAGGCCAACUCUGCAGACGGGCUCGAGCCAAAACCCUCUCCUGGUGACACCCGGGGGUUGGGGAGCACUGCCCUGGCCCCAUGGAGGACCCCACUCCAAUUUGUAAACAGAAACAUAAAUAAAAUGAGGAAAGCUGGGAAAGAGAAGGACCGGGCCCCCAAACCAUCUUGCUGGGGAGCUUCAACAGAAAUAUGACCCACGGGGUCAGGGGAACGGACUGGAGCCAGCCCCCUCGGUGCCUUGGUACCAAGGGGGCGGGGGGGCGGGGGGUCACCUGUCCCCUCGACCCCACCCCCGAGGCUACUCCUGGCUGGAGAGAGGGGGUAGGCAGGUGUGGGGUAAAGUGCGGCUUUUCCUGACGAGGAGAGCAGGGUGGAGGUCGAGGGUGGGCGGGGCCGACAUCGAGGUAUAUGGCUCUGUGCCCCAAGGGGUUUGGCACCGAGUAGCAGCUGCCCACGACCCCCGAGCUGGGGCAGCCUGAGGCCCUGCCAGGUGCAGGGAGACAGAGCCAAGCGGAGGGCCGAGGGCGCCCCGGGCGGAGGCUGCUGGUGGGGCAGCAUCCCGCCCCAUCUCCCACCUCCCCGAUGGGGCAGGGACACCUUCCUCUGCUGGCUAGACGGGGCCGGGCCCUCUGCAUCCAGCUGCCUGGCGGGUCCUGCGGUGGGGGCAGCGGCCUGGACAGCACGAACAGUGGUGCUGGGCACUGAGAGCGCCAGUCUGUGUGUGAGGAGGGCAGGGCAGCGUCCCAGCCACCGCUCACCCCCGUCCUUGACGCGUUCUGAAGCAGAGGCGGCGUGACCCGGGACCCACAAGGAGGGGAGGGGUCGGGAAGACUGGCAGAGGCAGGCCCCGCGGUGGCCCUGCGUCCUGUCCGGGCCACACGUGCCGCCCGCGGCCAGAGCUCAACACGUCAUCACGUUACAGCUGCAGGGGAGAGACCGAGAGAGGGUGAGGGUCAGUCCAGUCCCACUGAAGGCACGGCCUCGGCGCCGUGGGCUGAAACCGUGGCUCCCGACCUUGCCGCCCCCAGCAGACCGUGUUUUCACUCGUGCUGGCUGACAGGCUCCCCAAGGCAGCACUGUCCUUGGCGCCUGGGGAGGGCUGGUGGCCGGGGCAGGGGUGGGAGGAGCCUGGCACUGGCCCCGUUUGUACCUUUUUGGGUUUUGAACCAUAUGAGUGUAUUACCUAGUCAAAAAAAUAAACAAGCCAAAUUAAAAGUAGAGAAUAAAAGUAAAGAAACCAACAGAGCCUGCUCCACAUGGCCAUGCCAUCCUCGGGCCCUCGGGGGCACAUCCCUCCCCUCUCCAAAGCUCAGCCUAAGGCUGGGGGACACUCCAGCUGGGCAUGGGGACCCGGGGCAGGGGCCGCACUCACUGUGACAGGGGCUCCGAGUGCAGCCCGGGGGCUGGGCACGCUGGGUGGGCGGCCAGGAAGGGAUUCACGUCCCCAAUGCCGAUGAGUCCAAACUCAGUGACCGACAAGGCCACCUGUGCUGGGGCCACAGCCUCCUCAGACUCUCCAUUCAUAUCCACGUGGCUAGAGAUGAGGGGCAGCUCCUCGGGGAGGGCCCCCGGCAGGGCCAAGUCCACAGCCAAUCUCGGGCUGGUGCUGGGCUCCGGAGUGGCUGUGGCCGGGGGGUAGAAGGCUGGUUCGGCCAGGGCUGGGGGCCGCCUGGGCAGGGGCACAGCUGGGGGCGUGUCCAGCUGCUGAAACGGACAAGGCCCUGGCUCCGAGGACGGGAGGCUGUCGGAGCUCUCCCCAGGCUCACCAAGACUGCCGGCCGCGCUGUCUACGCUCAGCGGCUCUGCGGGGGAGAACACAGCUGAGGCCGGGCCCCCAGUGACACCCCACACCAGCCCUCCUGGGACCCAGGGCCAUCCUGGCUCAGGUGCACUCAGUUAAAAUCACACUUAUGCCUCCUACAACCUGUGCGGGACUCCUGCCCAAUCUUUGCGGGGCCCAGCAAAGCCUGAGGACCCCUCUGCAAAAAGGCGUUUUCAUGCAAAGACAGAAAAUACAUACAGACACAAAGGAAACCGGUCGUACUGAAACUGUGUGCCUGGGCUAACAGCCCUGCCCUGGGAGGUACUGACCCCCAUUUUUUAAACCAGAUCAGAGCGAAACAGGUUCAAAGGAAAACGCCUGGAUGCAAAGUACAGCUAAACACGGAAUUUGAGAAACCUUUGUGCACAGGUUCAUGACGAGCAGUCCCGGGGGGUAGGUAGAUGUGGUCCCCCUUUCAGACAAACCAUGGAACCUGCCAGAUUCAGGAACGAGGGACGAUCUAAAGCCCACAGGACCACAGGCUCCCAGAACCAAGGUCCCCACCGUUAUCUCUGUGGCCUCUGUCAGAAACUCAGUCCUGAGCCAGACCCGGUCUUGCUCUCAUGUGGCCCUAAGCCCAGGAUGCCAGAGAGGCUUGGACACCCAUCUGACCUCCCACAUGGCACCUGGGGCCUGCAGAGGGGCCCCCACUUCAGGCCGUGGGGCACAAAGUUCCCCUCCACGUAACAAGUCCCCACGGCCACUCGUGCGUGUGGCUGCCCAUGUAUGGUAACGUACUGGGGUAGAUGGGCACCGGCUGGCUCCCCGAGCCCAGCCCUGAGAGCUCCUGGGGCCCAUGUCAGGGCACCAGUGAGGAGGGGGCUCCCCCAAGAGCAGGGACCCACCCCGGAUUCUCACCUGUGUGCAUCCGUGCCAGGGGGUCCUGCUCAGAGCCCAGGCUGUCGGCAGUAGGGGGCAGAGGCGGUGAGGAGUGGGGGCGGCCAUCAGGGUCACUGCUGUCCAGGUCCUGGUCUACAUCCCUGUGGGGGGAGCAUACGGUGAGGGGCUGUGGGAGACACAGCCUCAGGUGGGAGGUGUCCGCCUGGGAUGCCCACCCCCGGCACGCACGUGGCUCCAGACGGGCCGUAUUUCCUCCGGCCCAGCCUCGUCUGCUGGGAGAAGUAGUCGUAGCGCUCGGACUUCUUCCACAGGUAGUAGUACUCCACACAUUCGCCCACGGACCGCGUGCGUACCUACGAGCGAGCCCAGCGGUCACCGUGGCCCCCAGACCCCACUGUCCUCACCUGCCAGCCCCUUCUGCCUCCAGAACAGCAGGGACAGGUCCUGGCCCCUGCCGCUCCUGGACAAAGCAAGACUCUGCCUGCAGCCCCCAUCGCCUGCUUCCAACCCGCCCCCGGGGGGCAUCCCCUCUCCUGAAGCGGGACGGCGCCCCAUCCCACCACCUAACUGGUGUGGAGCCAGAACCCCAUUACUCACCCCGGAUCCACACAUCCAGUGCCCACCUCCCUCGCUCCAGACCACUAGCUCCCAAAGGCAGCGGCAUCCACCUUGUUGCCCAGCAGAGAGGGGGAGCAAAGGUGCUGGUGCAGCCACAGGGAGGGAAGCCUGCUUUUCCCACCAAGUGCAAAGGGUCACGAACAGCAGGGGAGAGCUUCCCACGAGGGCAAACCAGACACCACUAAGGCACACGCCACGGGUUCGUGAACCCAGCUCAACAACACAACAGGGAAAAGCGAAAAUAACUUUGUGUGUAUGGUAUCCCGGGAAGGGAAGCACACAAAUAUGUCUGGCGGGGAGCUGGACCCUCCACUUACAAAACCUCUUGUGGGGAAGAAAAGUCACAGGAAUGAAAUGUACAACCCAGGGAACAUGGUCAACGAAGUGUAACAAGGUCACAGAGCAACAGAAAGCGACUAUGUUACUGGGGUGAGCGCUGACUGACACACAGAACUGUCCAACCCAAAACCAAUACGGUAUCACGUGCCAACUGUACUUGCGUUAGAAACAAAUGUUUAAAAACCCUCUCUUGGGGCGCCUGGGUGGCGCAGUCGGUUAAGUGUCCGACUUCAGCCAGGUCACGAUCUCGCGGUCCGUGAGUUCGAGCCCCGCGUCGGGCUCUGGGCUGAUGGCUCAGAGCCUGGAGCCUGUUUCCGAUGCUGUGUCUCCCUCUCUCUCUGCCCCUCCCCCGUUCAUGCUCUGUCUCUCUCUGUCCCAAAAAUAAAUAAACGUUGAAAAAAAAUUAAAAAAAAAAAAAAAACCCUCUCUUGACAACACAGGGCAUCUUCCCACUUUGGAGGACCAGCCCACGGCAAGCCCAGGGCUGUGCCUGCAGAGGGCAAUGGCACCAGAGUCCACACCACUGUUGGCCAAGAUGAGGGACCAGACACUGGUGCCCAGGACGAGUCUGGAAACCAGCAGGGACAGGGACACACGUAGAUGGUCUCAUCUUCUCAGUGAGACCCCUUCGCACACCCAUCUUGCCAGGGGAUGAAGUCCUGUGCAAUCUCCCUGGGGCCAGCUCCAGCAAAAACCGGAAGUGCCCGGAGAAGGAGGCCACAGCCGUAACCAGGGUGGGCAGGCACGUGGCUGACGGCACGCAAAGGAAACAACGGCACUGUGCCGACAGUGCCGUGCUUACGAAAGCGGCCUGGGCUGUGGUGAAAACGCAGUGAGCAGAGAGCUGCAUCAGGCCACAGGGCACAGAUGUGACAAGAGAAUCAAGCACUGCCUGUCACAGCGCUGGGCAUGGUCAGCUGAGCACCAUCAGCCCCCUGACUCUCCACAGGCCCCUGGCCCCCAGCAGGCACCUCAUUCACUCCAACCUCCCGGGAGAAGACGCCGAGGCCUGAAUGCGAGCCUGGCCUCAGCCAGGCCCUUCUCUACUACAUACGUCCCCAUGAGCAGCGGGAAGGAGCCACACUAGUAGCCCUAGACAGAGGACAGCAGACUGGAUGACGGGUGAGGUGGGGGAGCCACGGUGAGACGGAGCCACAGGCAUGUGCCCAGGUAGAUGUCCCCCAGGCUGCACACCAGAGGGGCCAAGGCUCUGCCAAGAGGUCAAUCUGGGAGUCAUGACGCACGAAGCCACGGGCAGAUGGCAUCACCGAGGGAUAUGCAGGGACCAGCAGAGACCCAGGCCUGGGGGUCGGGGAGGCAGGGGAACCUGGCACUCGGCUGUGCCCCUGGUCAUGAGUGUUUGCCGUGGGUGGGUCCUCUGAGGAAAGCAGAGACCCUCAGACCGCAAGGCAAGCGGCGGAGGGUGGAGUCCAGGCUGGGGGUGGGCAACACACCAACCAACAGGCUCUACUUCAAGGAACAGCAGGGCAGUACCGAGGAAUCGCGAGCAGACAAGACUGCUAGAGUCCACCUCGAGGCAAUGUCUCUCCCCAAACUGGAGCCUUCUCUUGGGGACCGGAAGGUGGCCCAGCAAACGUCAGCAGAGGAACCAGAGCAAGACAUCAAGGGACGUGUGGCAAGCCAGAGGCAGGCGACAGGGUGUCAGCCACGGCUCAGAGGGGCCCGCCCUGGGCCUGGUGAGUCUCAAGCUCGCUGGGGGGUGAAGGCGACGUGCCUGGGCUCCCAAGCCGCUCGCAGCCCCAAGGCGUAGCUGGUGGAGCCCCGGCGGGAGCAGGGCAGGCCACACCCUCACCUUGUUGGCCUGGAUCAGGUGGAAGUUCUUCCCGUGCACUCGGAAGCCAUGCUCAAAGUUCCUGCACUCCUCCUCGCUCCAAGCACAGAACCCAUCUGCAAGCAGGAGGGAGGGCACAACGGCAUCAGCAGUGCCCAGGACGUGACAACAGAGAGAGCGGGAAGAGCUGGCGCUGCACGCUCACCUCGGAUCACCUUCACGUUGAAUCGCAGCCUCCGCAGAGCCUCCUCUGCGUUGAAAUUGCAUUUCACCAGCUCAUAAAGUGCCUGGGGGGAAGCCACGCUCACUCUUCCAACCUGCCCGCUUCAUCCCACCCAACCCACCCCGGAGUAACAGCCAGGGACGUUCACACCACCACGGGGGGGGGGGAGACAACAUCAGGGGGCAUUCAGACCCCCACCAGGGCAGGGAUACCGGGAGCGCUCACACCACCACCGGGGUGGGGAAUGUCAGGGACGUUCACACCGUCACCAGGGUGGGGAUAUCGGGAGCACUCACACCCCCAUCAUGGUGGGGAUACCGGGAGCACUCACACCCCCACCGGGGUGGGAAAUGUCAGGGACGUUCACACCACCACUGGGGGGGACGACAUCAGGGGGCAUUCAGACCACCAUCGGGGUGGGGAUACCGGGAGCGCUCACAUCCCCACCGGGGUGGGGAAUGUCAGGGACGUUUACACCGCCACCGGGGUAGGGAUAUUGGGGUGUUUAUACCAUCAUUUCCCCCUUGACAAGUUGUUUUUCGUUUCAAUUUGCCACCAUCACACGACCACACUGGCGCACCUCCCAAACCCCCUCCCGCCCUUGCGUGGGCCCUGCCCUCUGACUCAGGGUGCUACAGCGCCACCGCCCUCUUCGCCCCUGUGGCAGCCCCACCUGCUCGCUGUCUUUCACCGUUUCUCCCUCCGGGAGCUGAGACCCAGCCAUCUCGUGCCACCUGCGCUUCACUGCCCGGUACAGGAACUCCUCCACCUCCCUCUCAGGGAGGACGUUGGGGUCCCAGAGCAGCUGGUCGUCAUUCUCAUAGACUGUGGAGAAGGAGAGCCAGGGUCACAUCACAGGCACGCGGCCUGCACCCACCUCCGGAGCUCACGCGCCCCUCUUCCAGCGGCCCCGUCAGAAGCACCUGUCAGGGCAGGCCAUCUCAGCUCCUUCCAGGGGACUCCCCUGGUUCUUCCACAACGAAGACCGUACACACAGAUAUCAAAAGAUACUAUUUCACGACCAACUAGCGUUUACUCCAGAAUGCGAGGUUGGUUUAAUGUUUGAAAAUCUAUCAAUAUAAAGCAUUACCUGAACAGGAUGGAAAAAAAAACGACCAUCUCAAGAGACUCAGAAAAAAUACUUGACACGAGUCCAACUCGUUCAUGGUAAAAACUGUCAGCUACUAACAGGAGGGAACUUUCUCCUCUACAGAUAAAAUUAUGUUUGUUUGUUUAUUUAUUUUUUGAGAGAGCAUGAGCGCAAGUGAGGAAGGGCAGAGAGAGAGGAGGGAGAGAAUCCCAAGCAGGCUCCAGGCUCUACACUGUCAGCACAGAGCGCAACACAGGGCUCGAACUCAUGAACCAUGAGAUCAUGACCUGAGCUGAAACCAAGAGCUGGACACGUAACCGACUGAGCCCCACAGGCGCCUUAUCCAAUACAGAGCACCUACAGAAGCUUAGAGCCAACAGCAUACUAAAGGGGUUACUGAACACGUCCCCCAACUUUGGGAACAAGAGAAAAACGUCCUCUAUCACCUCUAGAUCCUAGAGGAAAAACCAGUACAACAAAGCAAGGAAAAAAAAUAAAAAUACGAAGAUCGCGAAGAAAGAAAGCCAUCACAAAUUAUGCCACUGAAUACCUAAGAAAAUACAAAAGAACCUACAAAACAUUAAAGUUGGUAAAUGAGCUUAGCAAAGUCACUCCGCACAAGAUCAACUAAAACAAACUGCACUUCUACUGACAGAAAUCAAGUACAGAUGAAACUUCUGAAAACCUCUCGUAAAGCAGCACAAAUAGGAGCACAAAGUAUGCACAGGACUGCUGCAAAACCACGGCUGGCCCCGCUGGGGUUCGAGAGGGAACCACACGUGUGGACGGCGAGUGUCAAUACCACAAAGAUCAAUUCUGCACAAGUUCAUUUCAGGGUCCAGGGCACCUCUGAUCACAGUCCUGGCAGGCAUCUUGAGGCAGCUGACAAGCUGUGCACAACUUGUGUGGACAACAAGGCUCCAGAGGGUGGAGGCCUGGCGUCGUCUCCCACUUCCUCUGAGCGGCAACAGUAAGACAGCGUGCUGAUGGCCAGGGUCCCGCUAGAGAGACCAGCAGGGCAGCAGCGGACCAUUCCAGAAGCGGUGCUGGAACAGCGGCACACCACAUGGGUUAAAGCAGUCCUGACCCACACCUCCAACCACACCCUGGACAUGAAGCCAAACCUCGGCUUUCUGUGCAGCAGGGAAACAAAGCAGAACGUCUUGCACAGAAACUUCUCACCGGCACACACACUAUGGGCAGAGUGAAAGCUUGGCCGCUGCCUCCCGGGAGGGACCGUGGCGGCACACGCGGCAGAUGACAGACUCGUACCCGGAGCGCAGGAGGGACUGCCACAAAUGAGAGAGAGAGGCACACCGGUUUGAAAGAGGGGAAAAGCCUUGAGCAGGUGCCUCACAACAGACGCAACGGCCAGUAAACGUGUUCGCCCUCAGAGAAACGCCAAUUACAGCCACAAAGAGACGCCCCUCCACACCCGCUAGGAGGGCUCCAGUCAACAUCACAUUGUCACGUGUGCACAGGGACGCGGAACGUCGCCGGAGGGGCCCCUGACAAGUGUCUCCUGACCAAAACAUGAGCCGACAGUGCAGCUCCCAGCCAUCUGUCCGGGAAGAGAGAGACACACACGUACACGUUCGCGGCCACACGUGCCAGCCGUAGCUAUCGACCAACAAUAGAAGAGAUGGGCCAUGCGGUCUGUCCACACAAGGAAACAGGGCACAGCGCAAUCGAGGUUCUUCUCGGGUGCAGCACAAAGGGAGAUGCCAGCUCCCAGCCCCUCGGGGUCAAGGGCCGGCUUGCAGAAGAGGAAAAGGCCCGAAGCCCAGACGCUACCGAGGCUGCGGUUCCAGACUGGGGUCCACCCGUCCUCAAGACCCUCCAAGGGUGUAGCUAAGGAGUGCGCACUGGUGCCUCUUUCUGGCGGACAGUCUCGGGUUCUCUCACAGACUGACCUCCACCUGACCUCCCUGUGACCCAGCCGACCUGAGCUUUCCCGGCCCCUCCUUUACCCAAACUGCUUAUGGUGCAGCAACCACGUGCCACCAAGCCCACAUCCCAGCCACCAGCCAGAGCCCCUGACAUCUCCCCUGCCUGCCCCGUCUCUCCGCCAAUCUCAGCUGCUGAAUCAUCCUGGGAAAGACCCCUGGCCAUGAGUGCCAGCCCCAGGCUCACAGGGGCUUUGGGGCCCGGAAAACAAGACUCAGGCCAAUAGCCAGGUGACUUCACGUCCCAUUUUCUUCACCUACAGCUCGAGGUGUCAACGCCUAUCUGGAAACACAACAAGCCUCAUCCCAUGUUCUAGGGGGAUCGGGGACAGACAGACAUCAGGUCCGGGACGGCGAGCAUCCUGAGCCUCACCCCAUGUUCUAGGGGGAACAGUGCAAGGCACAGAGACCCUAGUCUCUGGAGGACACUUGGGACAAGGUCCAGACACAUGAAGGGCCAGGCGGGGAAAGGUGUGCAUGCCCAGAGAGACGAGGACAGUGACCUGGGCAGGGAGGAAAGGGGCAGAAGGGGUGAGCCGAGGGCAGCAGAGGGGUACCAGCUGCACAGGGUGGCAGGACCACACAGCACUAAGCUGGAAGGACAGUGAGCAGGGAUGGGGCGUCAACUGGCCCACCUCUUCCUGCCCUGGCCUUGGCCCCAAGUGUCCUACAAGCUCAGGGUGGUGCAGGGGGCACCUGGCCUGAGCCUGGCCCCUCAGAUCCCCCCACCAAGAAGGCAUGCAGCAGGUUCGUUCCUGACUGGACUAGGGCUCUCCUCUCUUCUCCUCCCUGUAGCCCACACUCACCGGGCCCCACUUACUUUUCUCACCAUGGCGGUCCAAGUGCAGGCUGCUGAGGUCAGCUUGGAACUGAGGCCCAACCAUGAUCUCCU